GCCAGACUCCUACGGGAGGCAGCAGUGAGGAAUAUUGGUCAAUGGGCGCGAGCCUGAACCAGCCAAGUCGCGUGAGGGAUGACGGUCCUACGGAUUGUAAACCUCUUUUGCCGGGGAGCAAGCGUGCGUUCGUGAACGCACGUCGAGAGUACCCGGAGAAAAAGCAUCGGCUAACUCCGUGCCAGCAGCCGCGGUAAUACGGAGGAUGCGAGCGUUAUCCGGAUUUAUUGGGUUUAAAGGGUGCGUAGGCGGACUUUUAAGUCAGCGGUAAAAGCCGGGGGCUCACCCCCGGCGAGCCGUUGAAACUGGCUGUCUUGAGAUGUCGAGAGGUAUGCGGAAUGCGCAGUGUAGCGGUGAAAUGCUUAGAUAUUGCGCAGAACUCCGAUUGCGAAGGCAGCAUACCGGCGGCGAUCUGACGCUGAGGCACGAAAGCGUGGGUAUCGAACAGGAUUAGAUACCCCGGUAA
rnacentral:rRNA from 1 species